CUCUUCGGAGAUACUCGAGUGGCGAACGGGUGAGUAACACGUGGGUGAUCUGCCCUGCACUUCGGGAUAAGCCUGGGAAACUGGGUCUAAUACCGGAUAGGACCACGGGAUGCAUGUCUUGUGGUGGAAAGCGCUUUAGCGGUGUGGGAUGAGCCCGCGGCCUAUCAGCUUGUUGGUGGGGUGACGGCCUACCAAGGCGACGACGGGUAGCCGGCCUGAGAGGGUGUCCGGCCACACUGGGACUGAGAUACGGCCCAGACUCCUACGGGAGGCAGCAGUGGGGAAUAUUGCACAAUGGGCGCAAGCCUGAUGCAGCGACGCCGCGUGGGGGAUGACGGCCUUCGGGUUGUAAACCUCUUUCACCAUCGACGAAGGUCCGGGUUCUCUCGGAUUGACGGUAGGUGGAGAAGAAGCACCGGCCAACUACGUGCCAGCAGCCGCGGUAAUACGUAGGGUGCGAGCGUUGUCCGGAAUUACUGGGCGUAAAGAGCUCGUAGGUGGUUUGUCGCGUUGUUCGUGAAAUCUCACGGCUUAACUGUGAGCGUGCGGGCGAUACGGGCAGACUAGAGUACUGCAGGGGAGACUGGAAUUCCUGGUGUAGCGGUGGAAUGCGCAGAUAUCAGGAGGAACACCGGUGGCGAAGGCGGGUCUCUGGGCAGUAACUGACGCUGAGGAGCGAAAGCGUGGGGAGCGAACAGGAUUAGAUACCCUGGUAGUCCACGCCGUAAACGGUGGGUACUAGGUGUGGGUUUCCUUCCUUGGGAUCCGUGCCGUAGCUAACGCAUUAAGUACCCCGCCUGGGGAGUACGGCCGCAAGGCUAAAACUCAAAGGAAUUGACGGGGGCCCGCACAAGCGGCGGAGCAUGUGGAUUAAUUCGAUGCAACGCGAAGAACCUUACCUGG
rnacentral:rRNA from 1 species